rnacentral:rRNA from 1 species
GACGAACGCUGGCGGCGUGCCUAAUACAUGCAAGUCGAGCGGGCCUCCGGAGGUGCUUGCACCUCCGGAAGGCCAGCGGCGGACGGGUGAGUAACACGUGGGCAACCUGCCUUUGAGGCCGGGAUAACACCGGGAAACCGGUGCUAAUACCGGAUACGUCCUCUUUCGCGCCUGCGAGAGGGGAGAAAGACGGUCUUUAAGGCCGUCGCUCAAAGAGGGGCCCGCGGCGCAUUAGCUGGAUGGUGGGGUAAGGGCCUACCAAGGCGACGAUGCGUUGCCGACCUGAGAGGGUGAUCGGCCACACUGGGACUGAGACACGGCCCAGACUCCUGCGGGAGGCAGCAGUAGGGAAUCAUCCGCAAUGGGCGAAAGCCUGACGGUGCAACGCCGCGUGAGUGAGGAAGGUUUUCGGAUCGUAAAGCUCUGUUGUGAGGGAAGAACAGCUUCCGGAGGAAAUGCCGGAGGUUUGCCGGUACCUCACCAGAAAGCCCCGGCUAACUACGUGCCAGCCGCCGCAGUAA